GUGGCCUAAGUGGUUAGAGCGUCCGCCUCGAAUGCGGAAGGUCGCGGGUUCGAGAGCGGCUGUCA